rnacentral:rRNA from 1 species
UAUCUGGUCAAAGAACAGUUUCAGGCGGGCAGUUUGACUGGGGCGGUCGCCUCCUAAACGGUAACGGAGGCGUACAAAGGUUUCCUCUGAACGANUAGAAAUCGUAUCUAGAGUAUAAAGGCAUAAGGAAGCUUGACUGUGAGACCUACAAGUCGAGCAGGGACGAAAGUCGGUCUUAGUGAUCUGACGGUACUGAGUGGAAAGGCCGUCACUCAACGGAUAAAAGUUACUCUAGGGAUAACAGGCUGAAAUC